rnacentral:rRNA from 1 species
CUGGCCGCGUGCCUAAUACAUGCAAGUCGAGCGGACAGAUGGGAGCUUGCUCCCUGAUGUUAGCGGCGGACGGGUGAGUAACACGUGGGUAACCUGCCUGUAAGACUGGGAUAACUCCGGGAAACCGGGGCUAAUACCGGAUGCUUGUUUGAACCGCAUGGUUCAGACAUAAAAGGUGGCUUCGGCUACCACUUACAGAUGGACCCGCGGCGCAUUAGCUAGUUGGUGAGGUAACGGCUCACCAAGGCAACGAUGCGUAGCCGACCUGAGAGGGUGAUCGGCCACACUGGGACUGAGACACGGCCCAGACUCCUACGGGAGGCAGCAGUAGGGAAUCUUCCGCAAUGGACGAAAGUCUGACGGAGCAACGCCGCGUGAGUGAUGAAGGUUUUCGGAUCGUAAAGCUCUGUUGUUAGGGAAGAACAAGUGCCGUUCAAAUAGGGCGGCACCUUGACGGUACCCUAACCAGAAAGCCACGGCUAACUACGUGCCAGCAGCCGCGGUAAUACGUAGGUGGCAAGCGUUGUCCGGAAUUAUUGGGCGUAAAGGGCUCGCAGGCG